CCAUUUCUUGAGCCACUCUCGUGGCAUAUGGAGGUUCCCAGGCUAGGGGUCCAAUCGGAGCUGCAGCCGCCGGCCUAUGCCAGAGCCACAGCAACACGGGAUCCGAGACUUGUCUGCAACCUACACCACAGCUCAUGGCAACGCCGGAUCCUUAACCCACUGAGCGAGGCCAGGGAUCGAAGCCGCAACCUCAUGGUUCCUAGUCGGAUUCGUUAACCACUUUGCCACCACAGGAACUCCUCUGGGGUCUUUUCUUAAACUCAUUCUUAAACUCACUGCAUUUUCCCUCACUGUGCUUCGGUUUGGGUCAUUUACAUUUUGCUGUUUCAGUUUCACAGAUUCUUUCCUCUGGCGUUAAGCUCAUCCAAUUCAUGCUGCAGUCCAGACAUGGUUUUUUAUUUCUGGAAUUUCCAUUAGGCUCUUUUUCAGGGUAGUCACCUCUUUGCCAACAUUUCCCCCUGUUGAUACAUAGAGGCCACCUCGUCUACUACAUUCUCUAACAUACUCAUCACGAAAUAACACCAAAGGUUCAGAGAACAAAGGGAAAAUGAGGCAAACUGGACUUCAUGAAAUUUUCUUAAAGGGUGCAUCGAAAGACACUGUGAAUCAAAACUACUAUGAGGUACCACUCACUUCACAGCGGUCAGAAUGGCCAUCAUUAAUAAUCCACAAAUAACAAAUGCUGGAGAGGGUAUGGAGUAAAUGGACCCUCCUACACUGUAGGUGGGAUUAUAGAGUGGCACAACCACCAUGGAAAAUAGUUUGGGGCUACCGCAGAAAACUCAACAGGGAACGAUCGUGUGACCCAGCAAUUGAACUCUUGGGCAUAUAUCCACACAAAACUUUCCCUGAAAAAGAUCCAUGCACCCCUACGUUCACUGCAGCUCCAUUCACAAUAGCCAAGACAUGGAAACAACCCAAAUGUCCAUCAACAGAUGAAUGGAUUGGGAAGACAUGGUAUAUAUACACAAUGCAAUACUACUCAGCCAUAAAAAAAAGAAUGAAAUAAUGCCAUCUGAAGCAACAUGGAGGGAACGAGAGACUCUCAUCCUGACUGAAGUAAGUCAGAAAGAGAACGACAAAUACCAUAUGAUAUCACUUAUAUCUGGAAUCUAAUAUAUGGCACAAAUGAACCUUUCCUCAGAAAAGAAACUCAUAGACUUGGAGAAGAGACUUGUGGUUGCCAAGGGGGAAGAGGAGGGAGUGGGAUGGACUGGGAGCUUGGGGUUAAUAGAUUCAGACUAUCGCCUUUGGAAUGGAUAACUAAUGAGAGCCUGCUGUAUAGCCCUGGGAACACUAUCCAGGCACUUGUGACGGAACAGGAUGGAGGAAAAUGUAAGCAAAAGAAUGCAUAUGUGUAUGUAUGACUGGGUCACUUUGCCCUACAGCAGCAAAUUGACAGAACACUGUAAACCAACUCUAAUGGAACAGGAUGGAGAGUCCUCAAAACACCAUAAGUAGAACCACUAGAUAACCCUGCAAGUCCACUUCUGGGUAUACUAUCCAAGAAGAAUAGUGAAGUCAGCGUGUCAGAAUGAUAUUUGGCACACCUAUGCUCACAGCAGGUAAAGCAUGGAAGCAACUCAAGUGUCUGCUGGCAAAUGAAUGGAUAAGCAAGCUGUGGUCCAGCCACACAACGGAAUAUUCCUCAGGCUGAGCAGGAAAGAGCUUCGGACCCAGGACACAGCAUGGAGGAACCCUGGGAGACAUUCAGCUCAGGGAGACGAGCUGGUCACAGAAGGACGAAUCCGGCAGGAUUCCACUCACCUGAGGCCCCUAGCGUCAUCAGAGGCCUAGAGGCAGAGAGCAGAACGGUGGGUGCCAGGGGCUGGGGGAGGGGGCAGACAAUGUUCAGUGGGGACAGAGUUCCAGAUUUACUAGGCGAAAGCUUUCUGAAGAUGGGUGCUGGCGAUGGGAGGAUCAAAGAUUGGGGUGCUCUUCAGUAGCAUUUUCCACUUACAAAAAUUCAGAUGGUAUGUUUUAUGUUUUGCGUAUUUGAUAAGAAAGGGCAGGCUCCUUCCUGGGCCAGGCUGCUCUUGUGGUGGGUGAGCCAGCCAGUCCGCGGCUGAGCUGGCUCUGAUUUCUGCUGCAACCACCAGCUGUCAAUAUCUUGGCCACGUAGACAUGCAUUCACAGAAGGACCUGGGAUCUGCUGGGCUUUCUCCCACCUGGCACCAGCUCACCCACCUGCGGGCUGUCCUUCACCACCCUCUGCCCUGUCCCCUGUCCCCAACUUUGGGAGCUGUGCCUGCACUUAGCAAAAGCCUGUGUCUGGCAGGGUUUCCGGGUCUCUCUGGCCCGAGACCUGGGGAAUGGGGCCGAGGGGGCUAAGACCCUGUUGGCUCCUCAGCUGUCAUGGUCAACAGGUCACCAGGCCACCUGCCGUGUUCAGUGCUCAAUGAAAUCCAACCUGUGUCACCCCUCCUCCCGCCACUUGGCCUGUACAUGUUCACUCGCUCUGGGGCAAGGUCCUCCGCGAGGAGGGCUCUCAGGCGCCACCAACACAUGCACACACUCCACCUGCCGUGUUUCCAGGGCUCGCUGGGGGCUGAUGCAUCUCCAUGGGGCUGUGGGGUGUCUGGAGGGAAUUUCCCAGGCCAGCCCCCGCCCCUCCAUGAGGCCAGGGAGAACAAAACCUGGACACUCUGGUGGUGGUGGAGGAAAAGGCACAGGACCAACGGAGCAGGACCUACACUCAUAGGACUGAUUCCUGCAAAAGGUGAAACUGAUUUAACGGAGAAGGAUGGUCCAUGCCACAAACCGCCCCAGAGCAAUGAACACCUACAGGCCUAGAAACAAAAAGAAAGCAAAUGAACCAAAACACCUGACCUGAGCUUCAGCCCUGAUAAAAAAGUGAACUCGAAUUGACCACAGGAUAGAUUUAAAAGCAAAAUGUCAAACUGUAAUACUUUCAGAAGGAAGCGCAGGAGGAAAUUUCAGGACCUAGUUUGCUGAAGUCUUUUUAGACAUGACACUAAAAGCGCAAUCCAUAAAACAAGACAGUUGAUAAUACUGGACUUGAUCAAAAAUGCGAUUUUUUUUUUCUCUGUAAGAUUGUAUUAGGACAAAAAGACAAGCUGCAGACUAGGAGCACAUGUUGGCGAAGCACACAUCGGACAAAAGAACUCUCAAAACUCAACGGUAAAAGCCAACGUAUGUGGAGUUCCCAUUGUGGCUCAGUGGGUAAGACACACCUGACUAGCAUCCAUGAGAACAUGGCCUCGCUCAGGGGGUUAAGGAUCUGGCAUUGCCGUGAGUUGUGUUGUAGGUUGCAGACUCGGCUCAGAUCCCGGGUUGCUGUGGCUGUGGUUUAGGCUGGCAGCUCCAGCUCCGAAUGGACCCCUAGCCUGGGAACCUGCACAUGCCAUGGGUGCAGCCCCCCGCCCCCCAAAAAAAGCAAAAAACCCCCCAAUCUUGAGGGAAAUGCAAAGGAGAACAGAACCUGAAGGCUGGCACUCCCCGCUGUGACACGUUCUUAAAAAGGUGACCAUAAAUCACGCGAGCCAGAAAAGGAAAGCUUAAGUUCUCUGCAGGUUUACGGGAGUCUCCAAAACCUGGAACCAUGCAGCCCACCCAGCCACAGAGAGGAAAGAACGGGGGAGGACAACCGGGUCGGACACCUGGGCAUCCUGCUGAGUGGGGGAAACACGAGUCCUAUCUCCAAAGGCCACAGCUCUGAUUCUGCUCAUCCACACUCUAGAGAUGACAAGACUCCCACAGGGGAGAGCGGGCUGGUGGCUGCUUCAGGCAGGAGCAGUGGGGGCAGGUUGGCUGGCUUGAGGGAGGACUUAGUCUGCUGGGGCAACUCGGCCCUUGGUCUGUGCCCUGGUCACGGGGGUGCACAGGUGACAGACAGACAGCUCCAAACGCACACACCACGCUGGCGUCUCUGGAGGAAUGCUGUCCUUAGUGAUGUGAGAUGUCACUGCUGGGGAGAAAUGGCUGCCGGGGGCUUGGGGCCUUCCUGUGAACCUCUCAGUAUAAAUACACAUCUAACCAAUGCCCUAUGGGUCCGCCUGGCUCCCUGGAGCUCAGAGCUUCCUUGUGGGUCUCAGGGCCCCGAUACUGGCGGCUGAGCAGCAGCAGAGGCGGCAGGCAGGGGCUGGGGAAGGCAGGGACUGGGCUGUGAUCAGGUGGGGCAUAGCCCUGCCUCGGGGCCCAGUUAACCCGAGCUCCUGCCCCACAGCCCCCAACACUCAGCUCUGCCUCUUGGAAGUGGUCCCCCCCUCCAGUGUCCCAGGUGCACCUGUUCCCACUUGUCCCUGCUCUGCCUUGCGCUGUCCACUCACCCCAUGCCUCCAACCCAGAGCAGCCGGAGCACCUCCCCUCUUCCUGUAGGGCUUCGGGGUCUCUGAGUGCACAGCCCACCGUCCCAGCCCCUCUCCUGGGGCAGGGGGGUACAGCCCAUGCCUCUGGCCUCUCUUACCCUGGUCUCACCCCUCCCCUUUGCUCAUCAAACGCCCGCAUCAGGCAGGACCCACGGCCAGAGCUGGAGCCGUAACGGCAAGUCCAAGCCCCGGUUCUGCCACGACGUAUCUGUGAGGUCUUGUGCCACCCCUCUGGCUGGUUACCUUCCAUGGGAACGGCGCCCAGCUCUGCACGGGCUCUGAGACCCAUCCAGCUGGAGGGUGCAUGGACUUGUGACCCCCAUCCCAGGUGACACAAUCUCCUGGGGACACUUCUUUGCCUUCCAACAUUCAAUUAUUUAUUCAAAAUAUACAUACAUCAUGAAAUUCAGGCCACGUCUCUGUCCCAGCACCCCUACCCUAGCCUCCGCUUUGCCCUCCCUCCCCACCCCUCUUCUCCCCCUCUAGGGGGCGUGCACAGGGAGGAAGAAACUCUCCAGCUCCCAGGCCUGGGCCUGCCUCUAAGGGCCCUGCUCCACCUGCACACAGUGCCCCUUUGCAUCUUCCGGGAAGGCCUUCAAAAGGUGUUGUGCCCGGGACAAUAGAAAAAACAGCUUUUUCCAUCUCUCUGUUUCCUUUUCAGAAAUUCUGAGCUCUGCCUUCAGCUCAGACAGCUCCUUGGAAAGAUGAUUUUUAUGUUCUCUUUCUGCAUUUAGUGUCUUCUCAAGUUCUCCCAGGGCUUUACCCAUCAUCUUCAAUCCUUUGCCCAGCUCUGCCAGCUGCUCUUGUUGGAACUCACGGUAGUCCUUUAUCUCUCUGCAUGAGAUAAAUGUCCAGAAGGAAAAGAGCAGCACCAGAGCACAGCGAGUCAACAGAAGGAGCAAACUCUCAAUGUUUCCAAAGCCUAGCUGUGACCACAGGGUUUCUGUCAUGGCUGGUGUCCCCGUCUGGGCUGUUGGCCUGGCCUGGCAUGUUGGUUCCGCCUGGGCUGGUAUCCUCGCCGAUCCUGGUGUCCCUGCCUGGGCUGGUGUCCCCGCCUGGGGUGUUGGCCCCACCUGGGCUGGUGGACCUGACUGGGCUGGUGGCACCAGAGGAGCUGGUGUCCCCACCUGGGUUGGUAGCCUCGCCUGGGGUGACGGACACAUCUGGGCGGGUGGACUUGCCUGGAGUGGUGGCCCCACCUGGUAUGCUGGGCCUGCCUGGGCUGGUAGCCUGGCAUCAGCUGGAGUCGUGGCCUGGUCUAGUGGCCCCAUCACCUGGGCUGCUGUCCCUAUUGGGGCCAUUGGUCCCGCAAGGCUUGGUGGCCCCACUUGGGCUGUUGCUCCUGCCUGGGGAAACGUCCCCACAUGGGCUGUUGGUCCCACCUGUGGUGGUAGCAUCACCAGGGCCACUGGUCCCAUCUGGGCUGCUGGUCCUUCCUGGGCUGGUGUCCUCACCUGGGCUGGUGGUCCCACCUGGGCUGGUCGCCUUGCCUGGACUUUUGGCCCUGCCAGGACUGGUGGCCCUAACUGGACCAGUCGCCUCACCCAGGCUGGUGGUCCCACAUGGGCUGGAGAGCCCUUUGAGAGGUUGCAUGGAGGUGGGCAGGAGGUACAGGAACUCGCCCUGUGAGUCUGUGACUCUCCUUUGUGGAGCAGGAGGGCCAAGGUGGAGAUCUUGGAUCUGGGGUCCAUGGAUGUCUGAGGAGGGGUGGCCAGCUGCCUUCUGUGCAGUGUGGAGUUGGAGGCGUGGCACGUGUCCAGGUCUCUUGGCCAACAGGGCUGGGAGGGCUGCUUCCCCUCCGCGUGGGGGUCUGCUUGGUUCUGGUUCCAGACGUCCAAGCCCCUGUUGUAGAACCUGAGCACAGUGUUGAGGAGCUGGGCCAGGCCCGAGGAGGGCUGCGGGUGGAGGAGGCGCCGGGUGCGGGUGCGCAGGCUCAUCCGCCCGCAAAGGGGCUCAAAGCUGGAUGCGAACAGGAAUGUGGUACACCAAGUGUGGGUGAGAGGCCCGGGGCAGGACAGGUGGGCCUGGGGCAUGCCAUGUGCAGGUGCAGAGAAGGCGGCAGAGGACACCGCCUUGAAGAGCAAGAGCAGGAACAGCUGAAAAGCCAUAUCCUCCGUCUGGGAGACGGUGGAAGCACUGGGCUUUUAUAACUGCCUUGCCCUCAAGUCACAAUGCCUCCCUGUGACAUCCCCGUGGCCCGGGCCAAUCACGAGGCAGCUUCCGCAACCCCCUCCCCCGCCAUGCGCUUCCGGCCAAUGGCCAGGCGUCUCUCAUCCUAUCCCUCCAAACCUUCUGGUAAGAUGCCAACUCUCAUCUUUUGGCAGUUGGACAGGAGCUCACGCUGCCAUUGCCCGGGGAAGCUUGGGUCUCGCUCUGCCCUAUCACAGUCUUCAUUUCCCAGCUUGAAUGUCUCGGUGCUCCUACAACCCUCGAGGAUCUGAGAGCUGGUGGGUAUUUCUUAUGGGGUGCAGGUCCUCCCGCCCCAACUCUUGCCUGUGCUCCACCAAGAGUUUUCCAU
rnacentral:lncRNA from 1 species